CGGUAAUAAGCAGAACUCGUAGUGCGAGAUGAUAGGUUACAAUUAAAUUUAUUCGUGCUGUGAAUUUUCUUCGUUUAUGCUAGUCUGACAACGAUUAGCUUCUUUAACCUACCCUUUCUAGUUAGUGCGUGGUUGUGGAUUCCAUUUCGAAACAUCUGUGACUGGGGAAUAUCGAAACAACGGAGGGAUUAGGUGUGGCGAGCAAUUGCGACAAACGACUGCGUUGUAAGGUAAG